GAUGAACGCUGGCGGCGUGCCUAAUACAUGCAAGUCGAGCGAACAGACGAGGAGCUUGCUUCUCUGACGUUAGCGGCGGACGGGUGAGUAACACGUGGAUAACCUACCUAUAAGACUGGGAUAACUUCGGGAAACCGGAGCUAAUACCGGAUAAUAUAUUGAACCGCAUGGUUCAAUAGUGAAAGACGGUCUUGCUGUCACUUAUAGAUGGAUCCGCGCCGCAUUAGCUAGUUGGUAAGGUAACGGCUUACCAAGGCAACGAUGCAUAGCCGACCUGAGAGGGUGAUCGGCCACACUGGAACUGAGACACGGUCCAGACUCCUACGGGAGGCAGCAGUAGGGAAUCUUCCGCAAUGGGCGAAAGCCUGACGGAGCAACGCCGCGUGAGUGAUGAAGGUCUUCGGAUCGUAAAACUCUGUUAUUAGGGAAGAACAAAUGUGUAAGUAACUGUGCACGUCUUGACGGUACCUAAUCAGAAAGCCACGGCUAACUACGUG
rnacentral:rRNA from 1 species